CACCUUGUGUAUGUAUGGUGUUCAGCACUAAGGACAGGCAUGUUUGUGUGAGUAUGGUGUUCAACACCAAGGACAAGUAUGUUUACUU
rnacentral:pre_miRNA from 1 species